ensembl:lncRNA
GUGGGAAGGGGGAUAGGAGGGGGAGGUUGUAGGUAGGGCGGGGAGUAGAAGGGUGGGAGGAAGAGUGUUCUCCAGACGCUCUUCUCCUCCACCUCUUCCUCUUCUCCUCCUCCUCCCCCUCUCCUCCUCUUCUCCUCCUCCUCUCCUCAUCUUUUUCUCCUCCUCCUCAUCUUCCUCUUCUCCUACUUUCCUCUUCCUUCUCCUCUCCUCCAUCCUUCUCUUUCUCUAUAUCCUUAGCUUCCUCCAUCAACACUGUCCAUUCCUCCAUCCAUUGAGCAUCUCUGGUUGUCUUCUGUGUGAUAUUCAGUAUGUACUGAUAUUGUAUAUGUAAAUAAAAAUGUAUGUAGAUGAACACACAUAUUAAUAUAUAUAUAUAUAUAUACUGUCCUGCCAGACCUACAGCACACCCAUCCCCUCUACUCCCUACUCCCUACACCCUAUUCCCUACACCCUAGCCCCGACAUCCUACACCCUAGGCCCUACACCCUACUCCUUACACCCUACACCCUAGCCCCUACACCCUACUCCUUACACCCUACUCCCUACACUGCUCCCUAGCCCCUACUCCCUGCACUGCUCCCUAGCCCCUACUCCCUACCCCGUACUCCCUACCCCCUACUCCCUACACUGCUCCCUAGCCCCUACUCCAUAGCCCCUACUCCCUAGCCCCUACUCCCUACCCCCCCUACUCCCUACCCCGUACUCCCUACACCCUACUCCCUAGCCCCUACUCCCUACCCCUACUCCCUAGCCCCUACUCCCUACCCCCUACUCCCUACCCCCUACUCCCUUUUCUCCCAGGGACCACGUCUUGUUGACAGGACGGUGUAUAGAUAUAUUUUGUUCUGGAUGUUGUAGUACCUCUGUCAAUAAUCUGAGCCGCUAACAUCUCUCACUUAAAGGGGAAGUCCAGAGCUGGUCUCUUAAAGGGGAAGUCCGGAGCUGGUCUCUUAAAGGGGAUGUCCUGCCAUUGUCACUUAAAGAGGGAGUCCAGGUGGUCACUUAUAAAGUCCAGAUGGUCAGUUAAAGGGGAAGUCCAGAGCUGGUCACUUAAAGGGGAAGUCCAGAGCUGGUCAGUUAAAGGGGAAGUCCAGAGCUGGUCAGUUAAAGGGGAAGUCCAGAGCUGGUCACUUAAAGGGGAAGUCCAGAGCUGGUCAGUUAAAGGGGAAGUCUUGUUCAGAACUGGGAUGUGUCCUAAACGGCACCCUAUUCCCUAUAUAGUGCACUACUUUAGACCAGAGCCCUAUGGAACCCUAUUCCCUAUAUAGUGUACUACUUUAGACCAGAGCCCUAUGGCACCCUAUUCCCUAUAUAGUGCACUACUUUAGACCAGGGGCCAUGGGGCUCUGAUUAAAAGUAGGUUACUAUAUAUAUAGAAUAGGGUCCCAUUUGGUAGGGAAUUCUAGUCAGGGAGAAGGAGGAGGGCCUAGAUGUAGUCUGAGAUGGUUUGAAACAUAAUGAUGAUGUCUCAGGCUGACUACAUUGCAGACGUUGCAUUACAUCAACCAAUGGUUGUGUGCCACGUCAUCGACUGCUCAGUCGGGCAUCAGAUUGUUAUAUCAUAUGAUGUGGUUAGCUGACAUGUUAAACACCUACUGUAGGACUAACAGGGUCCGGUCCCAAAUGGACCCCUGAACCCUACGCCCUAUGCCCUAAACUCUACUCCUUGUGUGGAGAUCUGAGAGGAUUUGACAGGUUAGGUGGAAGUUUCACCAUCUUUCUUAUACCAGUCAAAUCCUCUUAAACCAAUCAAAUCUUCUUAUACCAAUCAAAUCCUCUUAAACCAAUCAAAUCCUCUUAUACCAAUUAAAUCCUCUUAAACCAAUCAAAUCCUCUUUUACCAAUCAAAUUCUCUUAAACCAAUCAAAUCCUCUUAUACCAAUCAAAUCCUCUUAAACCAAUCAAAUCCUCUUAUACCAAUCAAAUCCUCUUAAACCAAUCAAAUCCUCUUAAACCAAUCAAAUCCUCUUAAACCAAUCAAAUCCUCUUAUACCAAUCAAAUCCUCUUAAACCAAUCAAAUCCUCUUAUACCAAUCAAAUCCUCCUAAACCAAUCAAAUCCUCUUAUACCAAUCAAAUCCUCCUAAACCAAUCAAAUCCUCUUAAACCAAUCAAAUCCUCUUAAACCAAUCAAAUCCUCUCAUAUCUCCAUAAAUGCAUAAGGCAUAGGGUCUACCAGGGCCCAAUCCAUUUAGCAUUGGGCCCUGGUAUUUAUGGGACUACAGAGUCAGAAGACUCCCUUCACCUGGUGGGAGAUGUUGGCUGUCAGAGAUGACCUCAUAGAUAUUAGUUCCCUGGGUUUGUAAACAUAAUAAAUAAUGAGUUCAGAACCCCAGACUGUUGAUAAUGAGUUCAGAACCCCAGACUGUUGAUAAUGAGUUCAGAGCCCCAGAGUAUUGAUAAUGAGUUCAGAACCCCAGACUGUUGAUAAUGAGUUCAGAGCCCCAGACUGUUGAUAAUGAGUUCAGAACCCCAGACUAUUGAUAAUGAGUUCAGAGCCCCAGACUGUUGAUAAUGAGUUCAGAGCCCCAGAGUAUUGAUGAGUUCAGAACCCCAGAGUAUUGAUGAGUUCAGAACCCCAGAGUAUUGAUAAUGAGUUCAGAACCCCAGAGUAUUGAUGAGUUCAGAACCCCAGAGUAUUGAUGAGUUCAGAACCCCAGAGUAUUGAUGUUUUUGUCUUCUCUCUCACUCUCCUGCUCUCUCUCUCCCUCUCUCUCUCUCCCUCUAUCCCUCUCUCUUCCCCUCUCUCCCCCUCUCUCUCCCUCUAUCCCUCUCUCUUCCCCCUCUCUCUCUCCCUCUAUCCCUCUCUCUUCCCCUCUCUCCCCCUCACCCUCUCUCCCCCUCUCACUCCCUCGUUCUGUUUCUUUUACUGUGAAUUUGUGCCUUUUUGUUAUCUUUUCUUCUCUUCCAAUUACACUACAUUGGACAUGUGAAAAAGUCAAUAAAAUACUAAAAAAGA